UUAUCCGCCCGGCGAACUGCUCAGUAACACGUAGUCAACCUGCCCUCAGGAUGGGAAUAACCCCGGGAAACUGGGACUAAUUCCCAAUAGGAGAGAGGUACUGGAAUGUUCUCUUUCUGAAAUGUUCCGACGCCUGAGGAUGGGACUGCGGUGGAUUAGGUCGUUGGGGGUGUAACGGACCUCCAAGCCGAUAAUCCAUACGGGCGUUGAGAGACGGAGCCCGGAGAUGAACUCUGAGACACGAGUUCAGGCCCUACGGGGCGCAGCAGGCGCGAAACUUUUACAAUGCGUGAGAGCGCGAUAAAGGGAUCCCGAGUGCUCUGGCAUAGCCAGGGCUUUUCUAGAGUGUAAAGAGCUCCUGGAAUAAGGGGUGGGAAAAACGGGUGCCAGCCGCCGCGGGU
rnacentral:rRNA from 1 species